rnacentral:rRNA from 1 species
UGAGGAAUAUUGGUCAAUGGGCGGGAGCCUGAACCAGCCAAGCCGCGUGAGGGAAGAAGGCCCUAUGGGUCGUAAACCUCUUUUGUCAGGGAACAAAAGCGAGUAUGUAUACUGGUCUGAGUGUACCUGAAGAAAAAGGCAUCGGCUAACUCCGUGCCAGCAGCCGCGGUAAUACGGAGGAUGCGAGCGUUAUCCGGAUUUAUUGGGUUUAAAGGGUGCGUAGCGGCGGUGCAAGUCAGCGGUAAAAGCCCGGGGGCCUCAACCCCGGCGAGCCGUUGAAACUGCAGUGCUAGAGAAGGCGAGAGGUACGCGGAAUGCGCAGUGUAGCGGUGAAAUUGCUUAGAUAUUGCGCAGAACUCCGAUUGCGAAGGCAGCGUACUGGCGCCUGACUGACGCUGAGGCACGAAAGCGUGGGGAUCGAACAGGGAUUAGAUACC